UACGUAGGGUGCGAGCGUUAAUCGGAAUUACUGGGUGUAAAGCGUGCGCAGGCGGUUCGUUGUGUCCGAUGUGAAAGCCCCGAGCUCAACUUGGGAAUGGCAUUGGAAACUGGCGGGCUGGAGUGUGGCAGAGGGGGGUGGAAUUCCACGUGUAGCAGUGAAAUGCGUAGAGAUGUGGAGGAACACCGAUGGCGAAGGCAGCCCCCUGGGCCAACACUGACGCUCAGGCACGAAAGCGUGGGGAGCAAACAGG
rnacentral:rRNA from 1 species